AUCAACUUUCGAUUGGUAGGAUAGAGGCCUACCAUGGUGGUAACGGGUAACGGGGUGUUUAGGGCACGACACCGGAGAGGGGAGCCUGAGAAACGGCUACCACAUCCAAGGAUGGCAGCAGGCGCGCAAAUUACCCAAUCCCGACACGGGGAGGUAGUGACAAUAAAUAACAAUACGGGGUUCUUUAGGAUCUCGUAAUUGGAAUGAGUACAAUUUAAAUCUCUUAACGAGGAACAAUUGGAGGGCAAGUCUGGCGCCAGCAGCCGCGGUAACUCCAGCUCCAAUAGCGUAUAUUAAAGUUGUUGCAGUUAAAAAGCUCGUAGUUGAAUUUCGGGGUUAGUAGGUUGGUCAUGCCUCAGGUAUGUACUGAUCUCACUGAUUCCUCCUUCCUUAUGAACCGUAAUGCCAUUAAUUUGGUGUUGCGGGGAAUUUGGACUGUUACUUUGGAAAAAUUAGAGUGUUUAAAGCAGGCUAACGCUUGAAUACAUUAGCAUGGAAUAAUGAAAUAGGACGUUCGAUCCUAUUUUGUUGGUUUCUAGGAUUGACGUAAUGAUUAAUAGGGAUAGUUGGGGGCAUUAGUAUUCAAUUGUCAGAGGUGAAAUUCUUGGAUUUAUUGAAGACUAACUACUGCGAAAGCAUUUGCCAAGGAUGUUUUCAUUAAUCAAGAACGAAAGUUAGGGGAUCGAAGACGAUCAGAUACCGUCGUAGUCUUAACCAUAAACUAUGCCGACUAGGAAUCAGACGAUGUUAAUUUUUUAAUGACUCGUUUGGCACCUUACGGGAAACCAAAGUGUUUGGGUUC
rnacentral:rRNA from 1 species